rnacentral:rRNA from 1 species
GACAGAGGUGCCGAGCGUUAGGCGGAAUCACUGGGCUUAAAGCGUGUGUAGGCGGGUCCGUAAGUACCUUGUGAAAUCCCACGGCUCAACCGUGGAACUGCUCGGUAUACUGCGGGCCUUGAGCCAGCUAGGGGCAACCGGAACAAACGGUGGAGCGGUGAAAUGCGUAGAUAUGCGGAGGAACACCGAUGGCGAAGGCAAUCCCCUGGGCCUGCACUGACGCUCAUGCACGAAAGCGUGGGGAGCAAACAGG